CAGUCGCCACGGUAAUACGUAGGGUGCAAGCGUUAAUCGGAAUUACUGGGCGUAAAGCGUGCGCAGGCGGUUAUAUAAGACAGAUGUGAAAUCCCCGGGCUCAACCUGGGAACUGCAUUUGUGACUGUAUAGCUAGAGUACGGCAGAGGGGGAUGGAAUUCCGCGUGUAGCAGUGAAAUGCGUAGAUAUGCGGUGGAACACCGAUGGCGAAGGCAAUCCCCUGGGCCUGUACUGACGCUCAUGCACGAAAGCGUGGGGAGCAAACAGGAUUAGAUACCCCAGUAGUCCCUGUCUCUUAUAC
rnacentral:rRNA from 1 species